GCCGGCGUAGCUCAGCGGUAGAGCGGCGGAUUUGUAAUCCGCAUGCCGGGGGUUCGAAUCCCCCCGCCGGCUCCA
rnacentral:tRNA from 1 species